rnacentral:rRNA from 1 species
CUUGGUCAUUUAGAGGAAGUAAAAGUCGUAACAAGGUCUCCGUUGGUGAACCAGCGGAGGGAUCAUUACCGAGUUUACAACUCCCAAACCCCUGUGAACAUACCAAUUGUUGCCUCGGCGGUGCCCGCUUCGGCGGUCCCGCCAGAGGACCCAAACUCUUGUUUUUAUACAGUAUCUUCUGAGUAAAUGAUUAAAUAAAUCAAAACUUUCAACAACGGAUCUCUUGGUUCUGGCAUCGAUGAAGAACGCAGCGAAAUGCGAUAAGUAAUGUGAAUUGCAGAAUUCAGUGAAUCAUCGAAUCUUUGAACGCACAUUGCGCCCGCGAGUAUUCUCGCGGGCAUGCCUGUUCGAGCGUCAUUUCAACCCUCAAGCCCCCGGGCUUGGUGUUGGAGAUCGGCGUGCCUUAGGGCGCGCCGGCUCCCAAAUAUAGUGGCGGUCUCGCUGUAGCUUCCUCUGCGUAGUAGCACACCUCGCACUGGGAAACAGAGUGACCACGCCGUUAAACCCCCCACUUCUGAAAGGUGACCUCGAUCAGUA